UAGGGGAGGUAGGGGAGGGAUGGGCAGUCGGGAGACAUGGGCACCCCCCUUUUAUUCUGAUCCUGUCAUAGGUUUUUCUUUUUUCUUAAUUUGGUAGUUUACUUUACCGUCUGGCAAAACUAUUCAUCCAUAGACUAUCUGUUAUUACCGUCAGUUGUCAAACACAAACACAUUUGAAGAUUAUGCGCUCGUAAAAGUAAAUAUUUUGUUGUGGAUUCGGAUUGUAAUACAGAGAAAAGUAACGAAAGAAAGAUUCAAAAGAAAGGUUUACGACGAGAAAUUCCCAAAGAUUUGAUAUUACGAGCCAUAGAAGAGGUAUCAAAAGGAUCAAAAAUAAAAACAACAGCUGAUAAAUAUAAAUAUAAGCCUUUAUGGGUUAUAACUAAUUUAAGAUAAGUCGUGAUAUAUUUAAGAUGUUUUUUUUGUUGUUAUUACGUAUAUUUUUGGAGUCUAUUAUAGAUGUUAAGUGUUUUACAGGCCAUGCCCAAGCCUCCCACCGGGUGUGCCCAAUGCUCCCUACCAUAGGGAGCCUUGGGCACUUUUGACUUAAUUUUUUAAUUACCUUCUAAUUAGGAGACUGAUUAUUAUUAUAAGAAAGUUCUUUAUAAGAUAUCUAGCCAAAAGUAUGGAGCAAUAGAAAGUGGCAAUAAAUGUAGAUUAUCUACAAAA